rnacentral:rRNA from 1 species
GCGAAAGCCUGACGGAGCAAUGCCGCGUGAGUGAAGAAGGCCUUCGGGUCGUAAAACUCUGUUAUAAGAGAAGAACAAAUUGUAGAGUAACUGCUACAGUCUUGACGGUAUCUUAUCAGAAAGCCACGGCUAACUACGUGCCAGCGGCCGCGGUAAUACGUAGGUGGCAAGCGUUGUCCGGAAUUAUUGGGCGUAAAGGGCGAGCAGGCGGUUUCUUAAGUCUGAUGUGAAAGCCCACGGCUUAACCGUGGAGGGUCAUUGGAAACUGGGAAACUUGAGUACAGAAGAGGAAAGUGGAAUUCCGUGUGUAGCGGUGAAAUGCGCAGAGAUAUGGAGGAACACCAGUGGCGAAGGCGACUUUCUGGUCUGUAACUGACGCUGAUGUGCGAAAGCGUGGGGAUCAAACAGGAUUAGAUACCCUGGUAGUCCACGCCGUAAACGAUGAGUGCUAAGUGUUAGGGGGUUUCCGCCCCUUAGUGCUGCAGCUAACGCAUUAAGCACUCCGCCUGGGGAGUACGACCGCAAAGGUUGAAACUACAAAGGAAUUGACGG